CCGUAAUCAAAAUAGGCCAACACAUAUGGCUAAAGCCAUAUCACAUACUAUAAUAUUUAAACUCUUAUACAUGCCAUAGGCUCAAAGUACUUGAAAUCACUACACCAAUAACGUUAGCUUGACAGUGUGAUAAUAUCUCCGACGAACUCCAACCCGAGCUAACCUGGCAACCCUAGGAAACAUGGGAAAGAAGGGGGGGUAAGCUUUCGCUUAGUAAGUUCAUAUGAAAACAAUAAGCAACUCAUUAACUUGUUUUAUCAAUGUUUACAACAUAUUCUCAAGUUCACUACAAGUUGUCUUUCUGAGCAAUAGUCACUAAAUUAUUUAUAUCUGGAGCUACGAAACUCUGAAUUAAGUUCUGUUAAUUUUCCAUGGAACUAGACUUAUUUUCCUUUCUUCCAUAAAAUUUCCAGAAUUUUUGGUUAAGCCAAAUAGUACAGUUUAUUCCUCAAAGUUACCCCUGAUUCACUGUCUGAUAGUUCUGACCCUUCUGUACUAAAGUUCAAUUAUCUCAUAGUACAAGACUCGAAUAAUCUUCUCGUCUAUUUCUAUUGAAACUAGACUCAUAUUUAUACUUACUAAUUUUUUUCUAGAAUUUUUGGUUGGGCCAAUUAGUACAGUUUAUUAGUUAAAGUCUCCCCUGUUUCAGGGUAUGACCACUUUGACCCCUGUGCACUACGAACCGAAUUUCUCCCUGUACAGAAUUCCAACGACCAUGCCGUUUAUUUACCCUAAAAAUAGACUCAAUAAGGAAUCCAUGCAUGUAAGGUAUGACUCUUAAUAAUUUUUUUACAAUUUUUGGUGAAUUUCUAAAAUUCAGAACAGAGGAUCUGGAAUUCAUUCAGAUCCUGUUUCACAAGAAUUCAAAUAUCACACAAUAUGGAAUUCUUUUUCUUCCCCUGUUUCUUUCAUGUGAAAAUAGACUCAUUAAGAUUUAAUCCCAUAUUAUAUUCUGCCUCUAACUUAUUUUCCACUAUUUUUAGUGUAUUUUCAAAGUUACACUACUGCAGUAACUCAAAUCUGUCAAGGCUAAAUUACUCAUUCAUGAUCAUUGUUCACAAAAUUAAUACAACAUCAUUUGUAUAAUCAUCACCGAGACAUUCAUAUCACAUUUUCAUUUACCAUCUUACCAUUUUGUUGUUAUGUCGAGUUUUCAACCCGAGGGUUAAGUACAUACCUGUUCAAAGUAUCCAUUUCACAACAUUUAUCAGUACGUCCCUUUCAUCUCGAGUAUUCCUCCAUUUAAGUAGAAUUUUACCCAGUGAACACAUCGGAAUAUAAUUCGGAUACAUGGAAAGUUUGAACAUAAGUGCCACAUAUGUAGCCAAGCUACCAUGUAACCCACUCAUAAGUGAACUCGGACUCAACUCAACGAGCUCGGAUGCCUAGUUACAUCUCACGAACUCGGACUCAACUCAACGAGUUCGAACAUUCGCAUCCAUAAGUGAACUCGGACUCAACUCAACGAGCUCGGAUGCCCAAAUAUUCCAGUGACAUGUCACUUGUAUCCUAAUCUAUUCCUAAGGUUCAACGGGACCUUUUUCCCAAUCAUGUGUCUCAACCAUCUUCUACGGAAUGCCGAUACAAAUACUCGGUAGUAUUUCACAUUUUCCAAGUAUAUCAUAUAAUUUGACAUAUUAUCAAACAAUUAUCACAAGUAUAAUAUCUCAUAAUAAUUAUCAAAUCAUUUAAAUAACAUCAAAACAUUUAAAAUAAUAACUAUAUUACCAACAUUUACAUAUGACCUUACCUCGAUACCACAAAGGUAAAAAAAGACGUAAUUAUCCCUUAAUCGAUUUCUUUCCGUUCUAGGUCCAAAUAUCGAUUUUCAUCAUCUAAAAUAUCACAUUCAACUUAUUAAAACAAUGUACUGAUCAAAUUAGUCCAUUGACACACUUGAGCAAUUUUUACAAUUUUGCCCCUAUAUUUUGCCAAAAUUACCAAAUUACCCCUUGGUUCGUAAAAUAAUUUUUAUCACAUUUCUUUACUCCUUGAGUCUAGAUGAACCAUUUUCAUAACUAUAGCAACUCAUAAUUUCAACUAUUUCACACAUUUACAACUCAUUUUACAACUUACCAACCUAGCCCUUUUUAAGGUGUUUUCAUGCAAUUCUUUCACAAACGUUGUUUAUUAGACAACUAGGACUCAUAAUCUUCCAUAAAAACACAACAAACAACACAUUUAAUCUCAUGGCAAAACCCUAGACUCUUCAUCAUUUUGCAAAAUAGACCCCUCAUAUGAAAGCUCAUGCUUUAGGGGUUCCAAAUAUGUAAAAAUCAUCAAGAAAGACAUUAAAAAUCACUUACUAGCAAGGGAUGUAAGUGGCUGAUAUUUCAGAGCUUCAAAACCCCUUUCUUUUCUGCCAUUUUCGG
rnacentral:lncRNA from 1 species